ACUAUGCUACAAAAUCCCAUUCUUCUCCAUCAUAUCAUCCUAUUCCCAGUUUUCCAUUCAUUUGAAGAUUUCAUUUACUGUCAGAAUUUGGCCUUCAAAAUGGGUUUAACACAGGCGAAGAUGGUGCUGCUGUUCAUAGCCAUGAUGGUCCUCAUCUCAUUUGCUGCUGCCAUUGUUACCCCUCACGAUUUUAUUCUCAAACCUUCCAAUCGAGGACGAAAGAUUCUAGGGUAUUAUGACCCUGGUAGCACAUAUGGCCCACCAAGUGGAGGGGGAGGCGAUCCAUGCUGUUAAUAAGAAGCUACCGAGAAUACAAUAAGAAGGAUCAUAUAUAGUAUACGAGAAUAAGAAGUUAGUGUGUUGUACGUGAGUAUAUGCAUUUUUCCUUUUUUAUAUAAUAUUGAUGUUAGGUUUGGUAGGAAUAUUAUACUUUGAAUGUGAGAUAUGAUAUUUGUUGUUUGAAGCAAGACUAAUUUAUACUUUGAAUCCAACGUGAAAAUCAAAUAUAAAUCCAUUUUUAUCAA